rnacentral:rRNA from 1 species
UGUAUGUACCGUUCGAAUAAGCAUCGGCUAAUUCCGUGCCAGCAGCCGCGGUAAUACGGAAGAUGCGAGCGUUAUCCGGAUUUAUUGGGUUUAAAGGGAGCGUAGGCCGGACUUUAAGCGUGUUGUGAAAUGUAGUCGCUCAACGGGUGCACUGCAGCGCGAACUGGAGUCCUUGAGUGCGCGGGAAGUUGGCGGAAUUUGUGGUGUAGCGGUGAAAUGCUUAGAUAUCACGAAGAACUCCGAUUGCGAAGGCAGCUGACUGUAGCGUAACUGACGCUGAUGCUCGAAAGUGCGGGUAUCGAACAGGAUUAGAUACCCUG